rnacentral:rRNA from 1 species
AUUGAACGCUGGCGGCAGGCCUAACACAUGCAAGUCGAGCGGAUGAAGGGAGCUUGCUCCUGGAUUCAGCGGCGGACGGGUGAGUAAUGCCUAGGAAUCUGCCUGGUAGUGGGGGAUAACGUCCGGAAACGGGCGCUAAUACCGCAUACGUCCUGAGGGAGAAAGUGGGGGUUCUUCGGACCUCACGCUAUCAGAUGAGCCUAGGUCGGAUUAGCUAGUUGGUGGGGUAAAGGCCUACCAAGGCGACGAUCCGUAACUGGUCUGAGAGGAUGAUCAGUCACACUGGAACUGAGCCACGGUCCAGACUCCUACGGGAGGCAGCAGUGGGGAAUAUUGGACAAUGGGCGAAAGCCUGAUCCAGCCAUGCCGCGUGUGUGAAGAAGGUCUUCGGAUUGUAAAGCACUUUAAGUUGGGAGGAAGGGCAGUAAGUUAAUACCUUGCUGUUUUGACGUUACCAACAGAAUAAGCACCGGCUAACUUCGUG